CAGCCCACUGAGAAUACUGAUCUCCAGAACUGCAAGAUAAUCAAUUGUAUUGGUUAAGCCAUUAAGCUGUGCUGAUGUGUUACAGCAGCAACAGGAAACCAAAAUACCAUCCUCUUACUUACUGAUACUAUGGUGAAGAAACCGCAGUUACCUCUGAAGCCAGGGCAGCUUAAAGUUUAGAUGCACAUUUUAGUGGGAAACUGCCACAGAAGAGGGCCCCGUCCCAGGCCUUAGAGUUCUGAGCUGAGGCAGGGUAAAGGACAAAAUAUGCAACCAAGCCAGACCCAGAAAGACAAUUUGGUUCUUCAUUCACUUUAAAGUUUCUCAUAGGUUCCAAUAUAAGUUUCUCUCAUCAAGCCAACAGAAUGCUUUGUUGGGUUUCCAAGUGGAGCGUUACUUUCGGAGUGGGAGCUCUCAGUUAACCUACGGUGAACUGAGAGAGCAGGUUUCUAUACCUCACAGGGCACUUUAACAAGACAAGUUCAAAGACCAGCACACCAGCAUCACUCAUGACGAGGGUUGUGCUCAACACUGUGCAUUUCCAUCCCAGUUAUAGACACAGGAAAUGAUGGAAGCCGAGAAAAGACCUCAUUUAGAAUAGAAAGUUAAGAGAAAAAAAAAUCAAAAUAGAAAAUGUGCCAAAAAGGAAUAGAUAGAAAAUGAAUUGAAACAAACAAGAGCAAAAUUUAACAAGUCAAUUUAAGAUCCAUUAAAUAUUUAUUCACGUUGAGGAAUUCUGAAGUCGAUCGCAUUAAAAUAUCUCUAAGCUUUGAAGGAUCUCAGGUUUCCAAAAUAAUUUAGACUUACGUUGACAUAAAUCUUAUUUUCCUAGCAGAUAUUUCAACUGCCAAAAAAAGCCACAAGAGAGAGAAAAACCUCACUCCGAGGAGGAGGAAAACAAGGCUGCAUGGCCCACAGCCCCGAAAGUAUGCUGGGGAAAUGGGGCCCGAGCAGUGCUCUCUGACUCCACCAAUGGAACAAGCGGCAGAAAUGACAUGCUUGAUUUCCCCAGGGAAAGCAGGAACUGACUUCUAAAAGCCCUCGCUGUUGGCCGUGGGUGAGCCACAGCCAACAGCACAUCCAGCGGUGCCUUACGGUGCCAUGGGAAAAGAUGGUUUUGAGCCAGUGGGCAGAGGAGUGAACACAGCUCAUACCAGGGAAUCCAGGAGACUCACCAUGCACACGCUUAUUGGCCUUCCACGUCAGCUACCCACUUCCGGCCUCAUAGGACAGCCUCACACAGGCAACGCUGAAGCCUGCAAGCUCCAUACUCAGGGCACGUGAAAUGUGUUUGAGACAGAAAAGGUCAAGUGUGAGGAACAGCAAUACAAGCUACAGCUGGAGAAAUUUCACUGUCCUAUCAAGAGAAAAUCAACACUCCUUGUUUACCUAGCAAUUGGGGGUUCACUAUAAUACCUCGGCUUUAGAGUUGAAUCUGAGGUGAUGGAGCCCCUCACUACACAAAGCUAGUCCCUAGAGCGGCAGUGUUGUCAUCCCUGAGAGGGUGAUAGAAAUGGUGAAUCUCAGACCCACCCCAGACCUGCUGACUCGGAACCUGUAUUUUCCCGAGAUCCUCUGGUUUGCUCUGGAUGGAUGAGGUCAGCAGAUUGCGUCCUUCAUAAUCUCUGCAGUGGGAAGCCCAACAGAAUGAAAAAAGAGGAGCUGCAUUUGGAUCUCGGCUCUACGUCCCUCGCACUUGAAGUGGCAGGAGUCUCAGCUCCACAUAACCACUCCAAGACAAAGCCUGAUGGAAAAUCCACCACAGAAUAUCUCCCAUCACUCAGCAGAAAAGGAAAGAAAUUGGUGGUUGGCACAUUCCAGCUCUUCCACGCUUUGGCCCAGAAGUUUAUUCCUGAUUUUCGUCCUUUCUGCCACUAACCAUUGGCCAGAAUUGGUCAUGUAGUCCUAUCUAACGGCAGAGGGGAUGGGAAAUGCAGAGGGCCAAAUGGAAUUCUUGGAUGCUGCCACAACAUGGCUUGAUGAGCAGUGCUAGGCCCACGCCCAGGAUCUGAAACCAUGAACCACGGGCCACUGAAGUGGAGUGGGCAAACUUAACCUCUAUACCACCAGGCUGCACCCUGGCUUGUGGUAUUUUAAAGUGGAAGUUUCAGUUUGUUGCAACCAAAAGAAUCUUUCUUACAACAUAAAGGAAGAAUCUGGGCAAUUAGUUUUGAGGAGGAUAACUUUUUAAUGUA
ensembl:lncRNA